GAUGAAGAACGUAGCGAAAUGCGAUAAGUAAUGCGAAUUGCAGAAUCCGUGAGUCAUCGAAUCUUUGAACGCACAUUGCGCCCCUUGGUUAUUCCGAAGGGCAUGCCUGUUCGAGCGUCAUUAUCACCCCUCAAGCCCUGGCUUGGUGUUGGACUUUAGUUAUGGCUUUGCCUAUCAACUGGUCUCAAAGAUAGUGACGGCGCCCCAGAGGGAACCGGGUACGAGGAGCUUUUUACUAAGCAUGUAUCUGGGACGAAUCUGAUGGGCGACGGUCUUGUUAUACUUUUUACCUAAGAGUUGACCUCGGAUCAGGUAGGAAUACCCGCUGAACUUAAGCAUAUCAAUAAGCGGAGGA
rnacentral:misc_RNA from 1 species